UAGGUCUUCCUCUCGAUCCUAUAGGAUCCCAUGCCGGCCGCCGCCCCUCGACCUACCUGCAUCUAGGAGCGCCGCCCCUCACCAGUCACCACUCCCCUGCGAUCCUCCAUCCUAGAAGGCCGCUCCUCAGGCCCUCACCACUCCCCCUGCGAUCCUCCAUCCCGGCACACCGUCGCUAGUCAACACUCCCCUGCGACCUACUUCCCAUCGCGCCGUCCCUCUCGUCACCGCUCCCCUUCGACGACCAACUGCAUCUACUACCUUCGCACGAGGGCCUGCAGCUACUGGCAGAGUUACCCCUACACCCUCGCAAUCGCGCUACCUUGAUGGUUGCUGCGGAGGGGAUCUUCUAGCUGAAGCAUCUUUCUGUGAUUGAACUGAUUUUAGUUAUGGCUUAGGAGCCUGUCACGAGCCCAUUGCAGGUAUGUGGCAUGCAAGCAGAGAAGAGGAUGACCUUGACAAUUACCAAUUCUACCUUAUAUUUUAUCUAACAAGUGACCAAGCGUUCUAAUAACUCUAUUCUACAGCACCUCCUUUCUCCAACCUCAUCAGUUGGGGAGACAUAUGGCCUCCAAAUUCAAAGGAUAAAUGGAUGAUUAUAUGGGUGUGUCGCAAGUAUACUGCAAAGAUGAUGAUGAUGAUCAUGAUGUCCUGUUCAUGAUGAUGAUAAUGGACGCUUUCAGUUUUGGUUAAGUUUCGGGGAUGAUGUUCUUGUUGAAUGAUGUUCCUCGGUUAACUUUUAGAUUAGUUGUACGGAUAUUGAUGGAUGCUUUUAGUUUAAGUUCCGCUGUCAAGAAAAUAUUUGGAUUAUGCAUCACAUUUGGAUGAUGUUCCUUGUGUAAUAUCCACUAUUGUAAUCCAAUAGUUUUAUCUAAUAUAUGAGU